AGCGAACGCUAGCGGCGGGCCUAACACAUGCAAGUCGAGCGCAUACCUUCGGGUAUGAGCGGCGGACGGGUGAGUAACGCGUAGGUCAUCUACCCUUUGGUGGGGGAUAACCCAGGGAAACUUGGGCUAAUACCGCACGAGGUCCACGGAUCAAAGCCUUCGGGCGCCAGAGGAUGAGCCUGCGUCGCAUUACCUAGUUGGCGGGGUAACGGCCCACCAAGGGGACGAUGCGUAGCUGGUCUGAGAGGAUGAUCAGCCACACUGGGACUGAGACACGGCCCAGACUCCUACGGGAGGCAGCAGUGGGGAAGUAAUUGCGCAAUGGGGGAAACCCGGUACGACGCAGCCACGCCGCCGUGGGUGGAUGAAGGACCGUCGGUU
rnacentral:rRNA from 1 species